AGGGUAGCCUAGUGGUUAGAGUGUAGAGGCGGCAGGGUAGCCUAGUGGUUAGAGUGUAGAGGCGGCAGGGUAGCCUAGUGGUUAGAGUGGAGGGGCGGCAGGGUAGCCUAGUGGUUAGAGUGUAGAGGCGGCAGGGUAGCCUAGUGGUUAGAGUGUAGAGGCGGCAGGGUAGCCUAGUGGUUAGAGUGUAGAGGCGGCAGGGUAGCCUAGUGGUUAGAGUGGAGGGGCGGCAGGGUAGCCUAGUGGUUAGAGUGUAGAGGCGGCAGGGUAGCCUAGUGGUUAGAGUGUAGAGGCGGCAGGGUAGCCUAGUGGUUAGAGUGUAGAGGCGGCAGGGUAGCCUAGUGGUUAGAGUGGAGGGGCGGCAGGGUAGCCUAGUGGUUAGAGUGUAGAGGCGGCAGGGUAGCCUAGUGGUUAGAGUGUAGAGGCGGCAGGGUAGCCUAGUGGUUAGAGUGUAGAGGCGGCAGGGUAGC